rnacentral:rRNA from 1 species
AUUAAACGCUGGCGGCAUGCCUUACACAUGCAAGUCGAACGGCAGCACGGGGGCAACCCUGGUGGCGAGUGGCGGACGGGUGAGUAAAGCAUCGGAACGUAUCCUGGAGUGGGGGAUAACGUAGCGAAAGUUACGCUAAUACCGCAUAUUCUGUGAGCAGGAAAGCAGGGGAUCGCAAGACCUUGCGCUCUGGGAGCGGCCGAUGUCGGAUUAGCUAGUUGGUGGGGUAAAGGCCUACCAAGGCGACGAUCCGUAGCGGGUCUGAGAGGAUGAUCCGCCACACUGGGACUGAGACACGGCCCAGACUCCUACGGGAGGCAGCAGUGGGGAAUUUUGGGACAAUGGGCGCAAGCCUGAUCCAGCCAUGCCGCGUGAGUGAAGAAGGCCUCGGUUGUAAG